AUACGUAGGGUGCGAGCGUUGUCCGGAAUUACUGGGCGUAAAGAGCUCGUAGGUGGUUUGUCGCGUCGUCUGUGAAAUUCCGGGGCUUAACUCCGGGCGUGCAGGCGAUACGGGCAUAACUUGAGUACUGUAGGGGAGACUGGAAUUCCUGGUGUAGCGGUGAAAUGCGCAGAUAUCAGGAGGAACACCGGUGGCGAAGGCGGGUCUCUGGGCAGUAACUGACGCUGAGGAGCGAAAGCAUGGGUAGCGAACAGGAUGAGAUCCCCUGGUAGUCCAUGCCGUAAACGGUGGGCGCUAGGUGUAGGGGUCUUCCACGACUUCUGUGCCGUAGCUAACGCAUUAAGCGCCCCGCCUGGGGAGUACGGCCGCAAGGCUAAAACUCAAAUGAAUUGGCGGGG
rnacentral:rRNA from 1 species